AGAGUUUGAUCAUGGCUCAGGAUGAAUGCUGGCGGCGUGCCUAAGGCAUGCAAGUCGAACGAAUCAUUUUUUGUAGCAAUACUUGAAAUGGUUAGUGGCAAACGGGUGCGUAACACAUUGGUACUUGCCUCGUAGUCGGGCAUAACGUUCCGAAAGGGACGCUAAUUCCACGAUGGUCUCGCAAGAGUAAAGUCGCAAGACGCUACGAGAGAGGCCUAUGGCCUAUCAGCUAGUUGGUGAGGUAAUGGCUCACCAAGGCUAUGACGGGUAGGGGGUGUGAGAGCACGACCCCCCUCACUGGGACUGAGACACUGCCCAGACACCUACGGGUGGCUGCAGUCUGGAAUAUUCGGCAAUGGGCGAAAGCCUGACCGAGCGACGCCGCGUGCAGGAAUAAGGGCUUCGGUCCGUAAACUGCUUUUGUCAGGGACGAAUCAUGACGGUACCUGAAGAAUAAGAGGUUGCUAACUCUGUGCCAGCAGCAGCGGUAAUACAGAGACCUCAAGCAUUAUCCGGAUUUAUUGGGCGUAAAGGGUCCGCAGGUGGCUUUUCACGUCGUUGGUUAAAUGUUGGGGCUCAACUCUAACACCGCCAACGAUACGGAUCAGCUAGAGCAUGGGAGAGGUACGCGGAAUUACAGGUGUAGUAGUAAAAUGCGUUAAUAUCUGUAAGAACACCAAAUGCGAAGGCAGCGUACUGGAAACAUUGCUGACACUCAGGGACGAAAGCGUGGGGAGCGAAAGGGAUUAGAUACCCCUGUAGUCCACGCCCUAAACGAUGGAUGCUAGAUUUCGGGAGUAUCGACCCUCCCGGAGUCGGUUAAAAUAGCUAACGCAUUAAGCAUCCCGCCUGGGGAGUACGGUCGCAAGACUAAACUCAAAGGAAUUGACGG
rnacentral:rRNA from 1 species